rnacentral:lncRNA from 1 species
AUGACACUUAGGAGUCACUAAUAUUGUAUUAUUAAUGAGAGAAUGAAGAGAUAACUUCAUUCCAUUUGGCCAGCCACCAUUGGGAGGUGUGGACAGGGAUUGAAGUAGGUAGAUGGGGUGCCCAGAUACAUUCCAUUUCCGUUCUUACAAUGAUUUGUUUAGCCUUGCCUGCCUGCACUGGGUCGACAAGUUCUCCCACAGAGCUGACUCUGUUUGUCCCAGAGAUCCAGAGCUUAGACCCUACCCUCUCUUCAAACCAUUCACAGCACAAGGGAAGCAAAUCCACAGUUAGAUGCAUGUUAAGGGUCCGAUGAGCAGUGCAUGUAUUAGGGAUUAAGUUGUUCAGAAAAGGGUGAUGUUGGUGCAGCUAGGAAAAUGUGGGGAAAGGUUCUUGGUAGAAUUGUGUCCAGACCCUAAUUUGUGUCCUUUUAGUUUCUUACCUGGACACAUGUCUUAGCCCACUCUAUUUCCAUUCUCCAUUUUCCAGUCUAUUUUCCCAAAAAUCCAGUCCUAGUAGUGUGACUCCCCUACCUAAACACUCUUCCUGUCCCCACCAUCACCAACUGCAGAGUGAAAGCCAGCCUACUUGGUCAGGUGUUCCUACUCCCCUUGGCCCAAGCCACCUCCUUUCCAGCCUCAUUUCCCUCUCCAUUCCUCUUGUGCUUCAGCUCAGCCCACAUGGAACCAUUUGACAUUAUCCUGACCUGGGGUGUUCCUUCACCCCUGUCUGCCUUGAACAAGCCUGCAGUGCUUUUCUUUCUCCACACCCUCCAUCCCCUCAUUUUCUUGCCAUACGAACUCUUUUCUGUCCACCCAAUAGUCUUUUCAAUGUCUGUGUAUAAAUUAUUUCAAAUUACUUCUUCUACUGGGAAUAAUCUUUCUCCUAUCUUUGGACUGUCUGCUGAGGUACCCUCCAAUCCUUCAAAAACAAAUUCAAAGGUUGUCUCCUCUGUGAGGAGCUUUCUCUCUUGUACCCUCCAU